GGGCCCGUAGCUUAGUCCGGUUAUAGCGCCCGGCUCAUAUCGGCGUCGCGAUUCGCGGUGCCGUGGGACACCGGGUGGUCCUGGGUUCGAAUCCCAGCGGGCCCA
rnacentral:tRNA from 1 species